AUACGGAGGGUGCAAGCGUUACUCGGAAUCACUGGGCGUAAAGCGCGCGCAGGCGGCUUGAUAAGUUGGAUGUGAAAGCCUACGGCUCAACCGUAGUACUGCAUCCAAAACUGUCAGGCUAGAGUGUGGGAGAGGAAGAUGGAAUUAGUUGUGUAGGGGUAAAAUCCGUAGAGAUAACUAGGAAUACCAAAAGCGAAGGCAAUCUUCUGGAACACUACUGACGCCGAGGCGCGAAGGCGUGGGGAGCAAACAGGAUUAGAAACCCCGGUAGUCC
rnacentral:rRNA from 1 species